GAGUUGGUAGCUCAGUGGUUGAGUGCAUGCUUUAUAUGUACGAUGUCCAGGGUUCAAUCCCUUGCUUUUUCC